rnacentral:rRNA from 1 species
UACGAAGGGGGCUAGCGUUGCUCGGAAUCACUGGGCGUAAAGGGUGCGUAGGCGGGUCUUUAAGUCCUGCGUGAAAUCCUGCGGCUCAACCGCAGACGGUCGUGGGAAACUGGAUGGCUAGAGUGCGGGAGAGGAGAGUGGAAUUCCCGGUGUAGCGGUGAAAUGCGCAGAUAUCGGGAAGAACACCCGUGGCGAAGGCGGCUCUCUGGAACGCAACUGACGCUGAGACGCGAAAGCGUGGGGAGCAAACAGG